rnacentral:rRNA from 1 species
CGUGUAGGCGGCAUUGCAAGUCGGAGGUGAAAUUUCUCGGCUCAACCGGGAACCUGCCUUUGAAACUGCAAAGCUUGAGGACGUGAGAGGAGACUGGAAUUCCUAGUGUAGCGGUGAAACGCAUAGAUAUUAGGAAGAACACCAGUGGCGAAGGCGAGUCUCUGGCACGAUCCUGACGCUGAGGCGCGAAAGCUAGGGGAGCGAACAGGAUUAGAUACCCUGGUAGUCC